rnacentral:ncRNA from 2 species
AUUUAAAGCGGUGAUGGAGUCCACCUUGGCACCAGCCUGAACCGCCCGGGAUAUCCCCUGCUGAUGACUCCUUCCGAUAC